rnacentral:rRNA from 1 species
UACGAAGGGGGCUAGCGUUGCUCGGAAUCACUGGGCGUAAAGGGUGCGUAGGCGGGUCUUUUAAGUCAGGGGUGAAAUCCUGGAGCUCAACUCCAGAACUGCCUUUGAUACUGAGGAUCUUGAGUUCGGGAGAGGUGAGUGGAACUGCGAGUGUAGAGGUGAAAUUCGUAGAUAUUCGCAAGAACACCAGUGGCGAAGGCGCUCACUGGCCCGAUACUGACGCUGAGGCACGAAGGCCAGGGGAGCAAACCGGGG